rnacentral:rRNA from 1 species
ACUCCUACGGGUGGCAGCAGCAGGGAAUCUUGGGCAAUGGGCGAAAGCCUGACCCAGCGACGUCGCGUGGGGGACGAAGGCCUUAGGGUUGUAAACCCCUUUUCCGAGGGAAGAGAAAGGACGGUACCUCGGGAAUAAGCCCCGGCUAACUACGUGCCAGCAGCCGCGGUAAUACGUAGGGGGCAAGCGUUACCCGGAAUCACUGGGCGUAAAGUGCGCGUAGGCGGUUGGAUAAGUCUCUUGUGAAAGCUCCCGGCUCAACUGGGAGAGGUCAAGGGAUACUAUUCGACUAGAGGACAGCAGAGGUAAGCAGAAUUCCCGGUGUAGCGGUGGAAUGCGUAGAUAUCGGGAGGAACACCAGUGGCGAAGGCGGCUUACUGGGCUGUAGCUGACGCUGAGGCGCGAGAGCGUGGGGAGCAAACUGGAUUAGAUACCCAGGUAGUCCACGCCCUAAACGAUGGAUACUAGGUAUGGGGGGUAUUGACCCCCUCCGUGCCGUAGCUAACGCGUUAAGUAUCCCGCCUGGGGACUACGGCCGCAAGGCUAAAACUCAAAGGAAUUGACGGGGGCCCGCACAAGCGGUGGAGCGUGUGGUUUAAUUCGAUGCUAAGCGAAGAACCUUACCUGGGCUUGACAUGUUGGUAGUAGAAACCCGAAAGGGUGACGACCUCGGGGUAACUCGGGGAGCCUUCACAGGUGCUGCAUGGCUGUCGUCAGCUCGUGCCGUGAGAU